GGUCGGUUAGCUCAGUUGGUUAGAGCGUGGUGCUAAUAACCCCUCCCCUCAUCAGGGUUUGUGUUAACGCCAAGGUCGCGAGUUCGACCCUCGUACUGACCA